rnacentral:misc_RNA from 1 species
GAAAUGCGAUAAGUAAUGUGAAUUGCAGAAUUCAGUGAAUCAUCGAAUCUUUGAACGCACAUUGCGCCCGCCAGUAUUCUGGCGGGCAUGCCUAUUCGUGCGUCAUUACAACCCUCAGGCCCCCGGGCCUGGCGUUGGGGAUCGGCGGAAGCCCCCUGCGGGCACAACGCCGUCCCCCAAAUACAGUGGCGGUCCCGCCGCAGCUUCCAUUGCGUAGUAGCUAACACCUCGCAACUGGAGAGCGGCGCGGCCACGCCGUAAAACACCCAACUUCUGAAUGUUGACCUCGAAUCAGGUAGGAAUACCCGCUGAACUUAAGC